rnacentral:rRNA from 3 species
GGCCUUGUACACACCGCCCGUCACACCAUGGGAGUGGGUUGCAAAAGAAGUAGGUAGCUUAACCUUCGGGAGGGCGCUUACCACUUUGUGAUUCAUGACUGGGGUGAAGUCGUAACAAGGUAACCGUAGGGGAACCUGCGGUUGGAUCACCUCCUUA